GACGAACGCUGGCGGCGUGCCUAAUACAUGCAAGUAGAACGCUGAAGGAGGAGCUUGCUUCUCUGGAUGAGUUGCGAACGGGUGAGUAACGCGUAGGUAACCUGCCUGGUAGCGGGGGAUAACUAUUGGAAACGAUAGCUAAUACCGCAUAAGAGUAGAUGUUGCAUGACAUUUGCUUAAAAGGUGCAAUUGCAUCACUACCAGAUGGACCUGCGUUGUAUUAGCUAGUUGGUGGGGUAACGGCUUACCAAGGCGACGAUACAUAGCCGACCUGAGAGGGUGAUCGGCCACACUGGGACUGAGACACGGCCCAGACUCCUACGGGAGGCAGCAGUAGGGAAUCUUCGGCAAUGGACGGAAGUCUGACCGAGCAACGCCGCGUGAGUGAAGAAGGUUUUCGGAUCGUAAAGCUCUGUUGUAAGAGAAGAACGAGUGUGAGAGUGGAAAGUUCAUACUGUGACGGUAUCUUACCAGAAAGGGACGGCUAACUACGUG
rnacentral:rRNA from 1 species